UACGUAGGGUGCGAGCGUUUAAUCGGAAUUACUGGGCGUAAAGCGUGCGCAGGCGGUUUUGUAAGUCUGUCGUGAAAUCCCCGGGCUUAACCUGGGAACUGCAUUGGUGACUGGCAGGCUUUGAGUGUGGCAGAGGGAGGUAGAAUUCCACGUGUAGCAGUGAAAUGCGUAGAGAUGUGGAGGAAUACCGAUGGCGAAGGCAGCCUCCUGGGCCAACACUGACGCUCAUGCACGAAAGCGUGGGGAGCAAACAGG
rnacentral:rRNA from 1 species